GUAGGAUCGUUUCGCGCGACUUGCCCAUGGGAGGAAGAGCUGAUCGUCACUGGCGGCCCGGGUCUUCGAUCAGUUGUGCAAGAUCGCUCGAAGAAAUAUGUUGGAUUUGGUCUAGCUGCUGCUCAAUUGUUUCUGCAGAAAGAUAGUGAAGCUUGCUUUCGGGAGUUCGAUCCUGACCGAGGAAUAAAAGUGCUUGUUCAGUGUCAAGGAAGAGAAUCGCGCGCAAAGUCCCGGAGAAGCAAACGAGCUCGGCGGUUCCAGUUUUCAGGAAGAGAUAGAGAGAAAUUUAAAUCAACAGAAACCAGAAGAAAAGCGGCAAAACUCGAGAUGAAGUCGAUAAUUUUAUGUGUCUCGUUUAUGCUGGCGUGCGUUGCAGGCCAACGUAUCACCACAAUCCAGCUGGAUGGCGUCCAGUAUUUCGUGAGCCGGAUGAAUCCCUACUCGCCGGAAUUGAAUUACUUCCUCGCCUACCAGUACUGCCGCUCGCUCGGUCUGCAGCUGGCCUCGUUCGAAACCAAGGAGAAGGUCGAAUCCAUGACACAGUACCUGACGAAUGCCGGCUACAGCAAGUACAACUUCUGGACGUCCGGCAACCGACUGGGCACGGGAAUGUUCCUCUGGAUGAGCACCGGUCUGCCAUUCAACGCCACCUUCGACUACUUUGAAAAGUCAUCCGAUGCCACCACCGGGCUGGACCCACUGGAUCACAACAGCAACACCUCCCCUCAGCGCACCGCUCGCGACAGCAGCAGCGGUAUCGAGCGGGGCUGCGUGCACCUGAAGGCCCCCUCCCUCCGGUGGGAACCCGAGGACUGCCUGGCGGUGAAAGAUUUCAUCUGCGAGCAAACCAGAUGCUACUACUACAACUACGGUAGCAUUCCCGUUUCGUCGGCGCAGGGGUAAAUAUAGUUCCAAUUAAAAACACAUACAAAACCAAGCAAAACUCGAAUCAAUUAAAAGCAAACAGCAAAUAGAUCCAUCACAAAUCAUCAUCAGAGAACAAACAAAAGUGAGAGAUUGAGAGACAGAGAAAUCGAGCAAAAUAAUUAAUAGCAAACCAAUCAAUAGACGAAAAAAGGCGCCAUCCGUCACGGAUCGGUGUUUCCCGGUAGCAAACAAAUGGCGGGAUUCGCAAAAUUCCACCCAGCAGAUUGAAAGACAAAUAUUUUGCAUCAAAAGUAAGAAAUGAAAAACACAAAACACUGCGAAUCGAAUUUGUUCAAAUUCCCGUUAGAGAAGAAUCAGUUUUCCGAUAGUGCGAACUCUCGAAACGAUGAAACCUCCCCCCUGCAUAGCCGUCCCAUCACCACCUCAUCAACCACCUCAUCAGGCUCACCCGUAAGCUUUACGACAGUCGAACGCAUUCCCACUACUCCAAUCCCUGUGACCUUCUCGUCAACCACCUUGGCUCCUCGUCUCGAAGAAACUUCUCCUCUGGCUGCGCUCUUGAAUGUCAACCCGAUCCCGGCAUCUCCGGAAGCCGACAGCAGCCUGGAGUCUCACAGCGAAGAGGAAGCCUUGUUGGACGAAGAAGAAGAGGAACAUGACGACGAAGAGCAUGAAAUCGAGGACGAAGACGAAUCCGAGGGACGAUCCCAGCAGGAUGACGACUCUGAAGGCCAGGAUGAACACCAACAACUACACGAAGAGGAGGAAUCCGUUCCCGAAGAACACGACAUCCCCGUUGAGCAGAAACUGAAGCAGAUCACUCGGGAAAUCGAAGAGAUGACACACUCCGACCGGGAUGUGGACAACGGACGCCAGAGCUUCCUGUCGUUGUCGGACCUGAUCAAGAACAUUCGCCCGGCCGAAAAGGUAAUCCCGCAGAUCGAUUCGUCCUACUCGAACACGAUGCGUGUCCUCGGAGAAUCCAUCACUCACGGAGAAAGCCGAGCGGUCAAAGUCUGAGCACCAUAAAUCAAUCAUCACUCCAUAAUCACCUCAUCGCACUCACACGCAAACACACUCAUCCACAACCCACACAAUCAUUGAAGCACUUACACAUCAGAUCAGAUCAUCACUCAUUUCAAGCAUCAAGUCAAUCAUCAGAUCACCCACAUCCAUGCGCACUCUGUCUCUCAUCACAUCACACACAUCGUCGCCGAUCGCUUCGCGGUGUUUUCCGCGGGACAACACCAGGGACUUUGCUUCGUCGACUGACCUUCAAGAUCCGGAAAUGACCGGAUUACGAACGCGAGCGGUUCUCCCAAUGAGACGACAACAGUCGACGAAGGUAAAAGUAGCCUCGUGAACUUCCCGAAAACACCCGACCGAAUCGGGCGAAUCGCCCUCUCAUCACUUCGCACGCGCAUUUGCAUCAUCGCAUUCAUUGAAUCAUUUCGCACCCGUCGCACCACACUCAUCAGCGAAUCAUUUCAUAUGUCAUCGCGCAUCCCAAAAACAUUCCCAAGUGAGAGAGAGAGGAACAAAUCUGAAUUUUUGAUUCACGAGAAUUUCAACACACAAGAUGAUAAUUAGUUUUACCAAGUUUAAUUCAUUUUUUUCUCGAGGAAGAAAGUGAUAAGAUUUCUUUCCGCCUAAAAAAAAGGAACUCAAGUUUACUAAGUAAAUACGAUAAACAAUAAAAAAAUACAUUAAAAUAAUGAAAAGCGAUCAAUCCAAGAGAAUGAUUAGACUGUACUGAAGUUUAGUUAGUAGGUGAAAGAAACACAACAAAAUACAACGAAUGGAUCGGAGUUAGAUCAAACGUUUGGGAAAAAAAACCUGGACAGUGAUACGGACGAGCGUUCCGUUUUAUGAAAAAGUGAAAUAAAAUAAUGUGAAUUUUUGUAAAAA